rnacentral:rRNA from 1 species
AUUGAAUGCUGGCGGCAGGCCUAACGCAUGCAAGUCGAGCGGAUGAAGAGAGCUUGCUCUCUGAUUCAGCGGCGGACGGGUGAGUAAUGCUUAGGAAUCUGCCUAUUAGUGGGGGACAACAUUCCGAAAGGAAUGCUAAUACCGCAUACGCCCUACGGGGGAAAGCAGGGGAUCUUCGGACCUUGCGCUAAUAGAUGAGCCUAAGUCGGAUCAGCUAGUUGGUGGGGUAAAGGCCUACCAAGGCGACGAUCUGUAGCGGGUCUGAGAGGAUGAUCCGCCACACUGGGACUGAGACACGGCCCAGACUCCUACGGGAGGCAGCAGUGGGGAAUAUUGGACAAUGGGCGGAAGCCUGAUCCAGCCAUGCCGCGUGUGUGAAGAAGGCCUUUUGGUUGUAAAGCACUUUAAGCGAGGAGGAGGCUACCUGGAUUAAUACUCUAGGAUAGUGGACGUUACUCGCAGAAUAAGCACCGGCUAACUCUGUGCCAGCAGCCGCCGUAACAC